rnacentral:rRNA from 1 species
GAUGAACGCUAGCGGCAGGCUUAACACAUGCAAGUCGAGGGGUAUAGUUCUUCGGAGCUAGAGACCGGCGCACGGGUGCGUAACGCGUAUGCAAUCUACCUUUUGCAGAGGGAUAGCCCAGAGAAAUUUGGAUUAAUACCUCAUAGUAUGUGAGAAUGGCAUCAUUUUCACAUUAAAGUCACAACGGCAAAAGAUGAGCAUGCGUCCCAUUAGCUUGUUGGUAAGGUAACGGCUUACCAAGGCAACGAUGGGUAGGGGUCCUGAGAGGGGGAUCCGCCACACUGGUACUGAGACACGGACCAGACUCCUACGGGAGGUAGCAGUGAGGAAUAUUGGACAAUGGGCGCAAGCCUGAUCCAGCCAUGCCGCGUGCAGGAUGACGGUCCUAUGGAUUGUAAACUGCUUUUGUACAGGAAGAAACACUGGUUCGUGAACCAGCUUGACGGUACUGUAAGAAUAAGGAUCGGCUAACUCCGUGCCAGCAGCCGCAGUAACAC